rnacentral:sRNA from 1 species
AGCGGGGGGCAUUUAAGACGCAGAACACCAGGUCCAGGCUGCAGCUGCGGGACUCAGAGGCGAAGCUUGAGGGGCUCAGGAAGGACGAAGAACCACCCUUGAGAGAAGAGGCAGCAGCAGCGGCGGCAGCGACCCCACCACUGCCACAUUUGCCAGGAAACAAUGCUGCUAGCGACAUUCAAGCUGUGCGCUGGGAGCUCCUACAGACACAUGCGCAACAUGAAGGGGCUGAGGCAACAGGCUGUGAUGGCCAUUGGCCAGGAGCUGAACCGGAGGGCCCUGGGGGGCCCCACCCCUAGCACGUGGAUUAACCAGGUUCGGCGGCGGAGCUCUCUGCUCGGUAAGUGCUGAGGCUUCUGGGCUCCUGGUGCUGCUGGCAGGAGGCUCCCUGGAGGGUGAUGUGGUGCAUGUGGCUUUGGCUCCCCUCCUGCCAUUCCUUCAUUUUGAGAGGACGUCCCCAGCCUAGAGUUCCUCAAGGCCAGAUCCCUCUCUGGUCACCUGGGGUGGCUGUGAUUAACUCGACCAGCAGGCUGGCCCCUAUGGCUUUAGUCCGGGCUCUUCAGAGCAAUGAGCAGACCCAGAGCUCCAGGGAUGAGAGCUGGUGGAGGCUGGGAGAAGAAGGAAGCUCUGUCUCUCCUCGGCUGUGUAUCCAGGUUCUCGGCUGGAAGAGACUCUCUACAGUGACCAGGAGCUGGCCUAUCUCCAGCAGGGGGAGGAGGCCAUGCAGAAGGCCUUGGGCAUCCUUAGCAACCAAGAGGGCUGGAAGAAGGAGAGUCAGCAGGACAAUGGGGACAAAGUGAUGAGUAAAGUGGUCCCAGAUGUGGGCAAGGUGUUCCGGCUGGAGGUCGUGGUGGACCAGCCCAUGGAGAGGCUCUAUGAAGAGCUCGUGGAGCGCAUGGAAGCAAUGGGGGAGUGGAACCCCAAUGUCAAGGAGAUCAAGGUCCUGCAGAAGAUCGGAAAAGAUACAUUCAUUACUCACGAGCUGGCUGCAGAGGCAGCAGGAAACCUGGUGGGGCCCCGUGACUUUGUGAGCGUGCGCUGUGCCAAGCGCCGAGGCUCCACCUGUGUGCUGGCUGGCAUGGCCACAGACUUCGGGAACAUGCCUGAGCAGAAGGGUGUCAUCAGGUAAUACGGGCAGCAGGCUCCAAACCCCCCUCUUCUAACACAGGCCUGCAGGUGUGCACCCAAGCAUGUGGACUGCAUCCCCAGCUCCAAGAAACCAACCCUUGGUGCACCCAUGGCUUCCUUCUACAAAAGAAGAUACUUAUUUACCAAAGGAGGGACAAAGACAAGAUAGGCCCUACUUGGACAGCCAGACAGCUUGUCAUGACCCUCCCAGAAAGUUUAAGAACCUUAAUAAUUUUCUGAAGCAUGGGGCAGGGCUGAGGUUCACCUGGUAUGCUCAGGCACAGCUGUAAUGUAGACUAAAAUAUUGAAAUAAUCCAUACCACUCAGUACACCACAGCCUCCUGAAUUUCCCAAGGCCCCAGCCCAGCCACCAGCCUGAAUCCUUUCCCUGACAUCCCAGUAAUCCAGCAACUAAAGGGCACAAGAGGCCUCAGGGGCUGCUCCAGCUACAAGCAGCCUUUAUUCUGAUGAGCUGGUAACUGUGCCAACUGCCAAAUAAUUACCCUUUGCAAAGGGCACUUCCCUGAUGAGACUUAGAAAAGACAAGGUACCAUAGAAACGUGUUAUCUAUGGUACUGGUGUAAGCAGCCAGUGCAAGAGAGAACUCGCAACUGUCCUCCUGACUUGACUUCUCCAUUUGCCAGGGCGGAGCAUGGUCCCACUUGCAUGGUGCUUCACCCGUUGGCUGGAAGUCCCUCUAAGACCAAACUUACAUGGCUACUCAGCAUCGACCUCAAGGUGAAGGGCAUGGGAGGGGGACCCAGAAGGCAGGUGGUAGUGAGAAAAACAGGCUCUUCCCAUUCCCCCCAUGCUGCAGAAAGAAUCCUCUUCUAUUCUGAUAGAAUCACAGGCUGUAAGACAGGGAAGGGUCUGGAGUGAUGGCCUAACUGCUACUCUACCAUCUCCAAAGCCUGUGAUGGCUCCCUCUUCUUCUUCUUUUUUUUUUUUUGAGACUCAGUUUCAUUCUGUCACUCAGGCUGGAGUGCAAUGACAUGGUCUCAGCUCACCGUAACCUCCGCCUCCCAGAUUCAAGUGAUUCUUCCGCCUCAGCCUCCUGAGUAGCUGGAACUACAGGCGUGUGCCACCACACAUGGCUAAUUUUUGUAUUUUUAGUAGAGAUGGGGUUUCACUAUGUUGGCCAGGCUGGUCUCAAACUCCUGACCUCGUGAUCUGCCUGCCUCCCAAAGUGCUGGGAUUACAGGCGUGAGCCACUGCGCCUGGCCCUCUUCUGUCUCACAGCAAAGUUCAACUCUUAUAUGUAGUUAUCAUUUUAGAAGGAAACUUAGGUCCAGAGAUCUGAAGGGUGAAAAAGGCAACAUAACUGGUUCAGGGUCACACAGCUGGGAACACCAGGCUGAAACAUCUUGUUGGCCAGUCUUGUGCUUCUGAAAGUCAUGACAGCAGAGCAGCAAUGCAGUCCUCCCGCCCUUGACCGGGCAACUCCAAGGCUGCACCUAUUAACAGAGCUCGAAGACCAAGCCCCUGGCAGCCUGUUUGUGAUAGGGUGCAGUGUCAAGAGUGGGCCAAAACCCACAAGAUGGCCAAAUUCUCCUACCUCCUACUGCAGGGGUGGCUGCCCAAGAGCAUCAUCAACCAGGUCCUGUCCCAGACCCAGGUGGAUUUUGCCAACCACCUGCGCAAGCGCCUGGAGUCCCACCCUGCCUCUGAAGCCAGGUGUUGAAGACCAGCCUGCUGUUCCCAACUGUGCCCAGCUGCACUGGUACACACGCUCAUCAGGAGAAUCCCUACUGGAAGCCUGCAAGUCUAAGAUCUCCAUCUGGUGACAGUGGGAUGGGUGGGGUUCGUGUUUAGAGUAUGACACUAGGAUUCAGAUUGGUGAAAGUUUUUAGUACCAAGAAAACAGGGAUGAGGCUCUUGGAUUAAAAGGUAACUUCAUUCACUGAUUAGCUAUGACAUGAGGGUUUAGGCCCCUAAAAUAAUUGUAAAACUUUUUUUCUGGGCCCUUAUGUACCCACCUAAAACCAUCUUUAAAAUGCUAGUGGCUGAUAUGGGUGUGGGGGAUGCUAACCACAGGGCCUGAGAAGUCUUGCUUUAUGGGCUCAAGAAUGCCAUGCGCUGGCAGUACAUGUGCACAAAGCAGAAUCUCAGAGGGUCUCCUGCAGCCCUCCGCUCCUCCCGGCCGCUGCACAGCAACACCACAGAACAAGCAGCACCCCACAGUGGGUGCCUUCCAGAAAUACAGUCCAAGCUUUCUCUGUGGAAAAAGACAAAACUCAUUAGUAGACAUGUUUCCCUAUUGCUUUCAUAGGCACCAGUCAGAAUAAAGAAUCAUAAUUCACAC